AUUGAACGCUGGCGGCAGGCCUAACACAUGCAAGUCGAGCGGAGCGGCGGACGGGUGAGUAAUGCCAAUGAAUCUGCCUGGUAGUGGGGGCUAACGUCCGGAAACGGGCGCUAAUACCGCAUAAUAUCAGAUGCGGCUAGGUCGGAUUAGGUAGUGGGUGGGGUAAAGGCCUACCAAGGCGACGAUCCGUAACUGGUCUGAGAGGAUGAUCAGGCACACGGGAACUGAGACACGGUCCAGAAUCCUACGGGAGGAAGCAGUGGGGAAUAUUGGACAAUGGGCGAAAGCCUGAUCCAGCCAUGCCGCGUGUGUGAAGAAGGCCUUCGGAUUGUAAAGCACUUUAAGUUGGGAGGCGUUACCAACAGAAUAAGCACCGGCUAACUUCGUGCCAGCAGCCGCGGUAAUAC
rnacentral:rRNA from 1 species